AUAAACAAUUUAAUGCUUUAGUAAAAGUUAGAAGCUUUAAGGAUAUUUCUUU
rnacentral:tRNA from 1 species